AUGGCUACGGCUAAGAGAAGCAAGGCGAAAGCUGCCAAGGCCAAAGCCGCGGAAGCAGCCAAGACAGCCAGGGCCAACGCCUACGAGGCCGAAAGGGCAGCUGACGCGGACGCUGUACGGGCCGCCAAGAUUGCCAAGAGGAAGGCGAGAGAGGCCAAAAAAGCUGCCACGACGGACACCGCGAAAGCCAAAGAGGCAGAAGAAGCCGCCAGGACAGCCAAAUUCAUGGCCGAAGAAGCCGCCAAGGCAAAGGAAGCCGCGGACGAGGCGAGGCGGCUGGAGGACAAGGAAACGGAGUGGGCGCAGUGCGAGGAAGAGCUGUUCGCCUCGAGGUUCCGCCGUUUCUGGAACAAAUUCUACGCCUGCCGCGGCCGCGGCGUCACCUUCCAUCAAACCACAUCUAUCCCUGCCAUGCGUUAUACGUCCCCUGCUUCUCGUGACUCGCCCGAUGCCAUGGAUACUCUACAGUUCAAGUCAGUCAAAAUCGCAUCAAUCAAAGAGUGCUUACACUGGCCGCUGCAAGUGUUUGGCAUCGUUGCUGCACGUGAUAUCCUGGAUAACAAGCGCAACAUUAUUUUCCACCGUCCGAGAAAUAGCUGCCAGACCAUCACCGAAGAGGAUCCAUAUCUUGCAUUGACCGGCCCCAGUCGAGCUAUUGCGGUGUCAAUAGACCCUUCCUACAUUGAGGUUUCCCUGAAAGUCAAGGGCCCUACAAAAGCUGAGGAUAAAGAUCUGAGUGAUCUUGUUGUGACUUACAAAAGUGCGUAUUGCCUAACUGGUGUUUACCCUAGCAGGCUCAGCACGCUGAAACUUGAAUUCAGCCACGUUAGUUUCUCUGUGGAGGCCACAAUCUGUAUAAAACUCACUGGUGGGUCAUGGCCAAUUGGUUUCCAAAGUGUAUUCACUGCUGGCACUUCUACUGAUGAUGUCCUUGUCAAAUUACUUGAUUCCGGACAUGACGGGUUGCCUGUCGAUGCCAAUGGUGUGACCAAGCUCUCGCGUCGCGUGGUUUCUGUUGGACUGGAGAAGUUUCUGAAGGUUUGUCUCAUGGCAAUUUCGAUUAAUGAGAAACAAGUUGUUGAGAGUAGCGAGGCAACUUUUAAGCCUGAGAGGGCUGACAUUAGCCUAAUCAAUCUUAGUCUUGGCUUCUGUAGUAUGGAAGUCGCCGUUGCUUGGUCAUGUUUCUGUGAUGAGUGA
rnacentral:rRNA from 1 species